AUUGAACGCUGGCGGCAUGCUUUACACAUGCAAGUCGAACGGCAGCGCGGGCUUCGGCCUGGCGGCGAGUGGCGAACGGGUGAGUAAUGCAUCGGAACGUGCCCAGUAGUGGGGGAUAGCCCAGCGAAAGCCGGAUUAAUACCGCAUACGACCUGAGGGUGAAAGCGGGGGACCGAAAGGCCUCGCGCUAUUGGAGCGGCCGAUGUCGGAUUAGCUAGGUGGUGGGGUAAAGGCUUACCAAGGCGACGAUCCGUAGCUGGUCUGAGAGGACGACCAGCCACACUGGGACUGAGACACGGCCCAGACUCCUACGGGAGGCAGCAGUGGGGAAUUUUGGACAAUGGGGGCAACCCUGAUCCAGCCAUGCCGCGUGCGGGAAGAAGGCCUUCGGGUUGUAAACCGCUUUUGUUCGGGAAGAAAUCCUCUGGGCUAAUACCCCGGGGGGAUGACGGUACCGGAAGAAUAAGCACCGGCUAACUACGUG
rnacentral:rRNA from 1 species